UGGGGAAUAUUGCACAAUGGGGGAAACCCUGAUGCAGCGACGCCGCGUGAGCGAUGAAGGCUUUCGAGUCGUAAAGCUCUGUCCUAUGGGAAGAUAAUGACGGUACCAUAGAAGAAAGCCCCGGCUAAUUACGUGCCAGCAGCCGCGGUAAUACGUAAGGGGCGAGCGUUGUCCGGAAUUAUUGGGCGUAAAGAGUGCGUAGGCGGCAAAUUAAGUCAGAUGUGAAAACUAAGGGCUCAACCCAUAGAUUGCAUCUGAAACUGAUAUGCUUGAGUCAAGGAGAGGAAAGUGGAAUUCCUAGUGUAGCGGUGAAAUGCGUAGAUAUUAGGAGGAAUACCGGUGGCGAAGGCGACUUUCUGGACUUUUACUGACGCUCAGGUACGAAAGCGUGGGGAGCAAACAGG
rnacentral:rRNA from 1 species